rnacentral:rRNA from 1 species
GACGAACGCUGGCGGCGUGCCUAACACAUGCAAGUCGAACGGAAAGGCCCUGCGCUUGCUGGGUUCGCGAGUGGCGCACGCGUGAGUAAAACGUGAGUAACCUGCGCUUGACUGUGGGAUAACUCCAGGAAAAUGGGGCUAUUACCGCAUAGAAGCUCCUGCUGCACGGGGGGGGUUGGUGAGAUUCGGCGGUUGGGGAUGGAAUCGCGGUUUUGCAUCGUGUUGGUGGGGUGGUGGCUUACCAAGGCUUUGACGGGUAGCCGGCCUGCGAGGGUGACAGGCCACAUUGGGCCUGAGGUACGGCCCAGACUCCUACGGGAGGCAGCAGUGGGGAAUAUUGCACAAUGGGCGGCGUCCUUAUGCAGCAACGCCGCGUGCGGGAGGACGGCCUUCGGGUUGUAAACCGCUUUCGCCUGUGACGAAGCGUGAGUGACGGUAACGGGUAAAGAAGCACCGGCUAACUACGUG